UAGGGAAUCUUCGGCAAUGGGGGGAACCCUGACCGAGCAACGCCGCGUGAGUGCAGAAGGUUUUCGGAUCGUAAAGCUCUGUUGUUAAGGAAGAACGAGUGUGAGAAUGGAAAGUUCAUGCUGUGACGGUACUUAACCAGAAAGGGACGGCUAACUACGUGCCAGCAGCCGCGGUAAUACGUAGGUCCCGAGCGUUGUCCGGAUUUAUUGGGCGUAAAGCGAGCGCAGGCGGUUAGAAAAGUCUGAAGUGAAAGGCAGUGGCUCAACCAUUGUAGGCUUUGGAAACUGUUUAACUUGAGUGCAGAAGGGGAGAGUGGAAUUCCAUGUGUAGCGGUGAAAUGCGUAGAUAUAUGGAGGAACACCGGUGGCGAAAGCGGCUCUCUGGUCUGUAACUGACGCUGAGGCUCGAAAGCGUGGGGAGCGAACAGG
rnacentral:rRNA from 1 species